rnacentral:rRNA from 1 species
UUUAAUGAUUCCACCCCACACCUGAUCCUGUCUGAUCUCUGAAGACCUGCAGGGUUUGAUCACUUGGUUGAGGGAUGGGAGAACAUUUGGGAAUAUCAACCGCUGUGAACU